CCUACGGGUGGCAGCAGUGAGGAAUAUUGGUCAAUGGACGAGAGUCUGAUCCAGCCACGUAGCGUGAAGGAUGACUGCCCUAGGGGUUGUACACUUCUUUUAUAAAGGACUAAAACGAGGCACGGGUGCCUUUUUGCAUGUACUUUAUGACUAAGGAUCGGCUAACUCCGUGCAAGCAGCCGCGGUAAGACGGAGGAUACGAGCGUUACCCGGAUUUAUUGGGUUUAAAGGGAGAGUAGAUGGGUUGUUAUGUCAGUUGUGAAAGUUUGCGGCGCAACCGUAAAAUUGCAAUUGAUACUGGCAGUCUUGAGUACAGUUGAGGUAGGCGGAAUUCGUGGUGUAGCGGUGAAAUGCUUAGAUAUCACGAAGAACCCCGAUUGCGAAGGCAGCUUACUAAGCUGUUACUGACAUUGAUGCUCGAAAGUGUGGGUAUCAAACAGGAUUAGAUACCCGUGUAGUC
rnacentral:rRNA from 1 species